GACGAACGCUUGCGGCGUGCUUAACACAUGCAAGUCGAACGAAGUGGCGAACGGGUGAGUAACGCGUAAUCAACCUGCCCUUCAGAGGGGGACAACAGCCGGAAACGACUGCUAAUACCGCAUACUGAAGGAGGGGACUGCGUCUGAUUAGCUAGUUGGAGGGGUAACGGCCCACCAAGGCGAAGAUCGGUAGCCGGUCUGAGAGGAUGAACGGCCACAUUGGGACGGAGAAACGGCCCAGACUCCUACGGGAAGCAGCAAUGGGGAAUCUUCCGCAAAGGACGAAAGUCAGACGGAGCAACGCCGCGUGAGGGAUGACGGCCUUCGGGUUGUAAAACUCUGUUAAUCGGGACGCGGUACCGGAAUAGAAAGCCACGGCUAACUACGUGCCAGCAGCCGCGGUAAUUC
rnacentral:rRNA from 1 species